GGCCCGUAAGUCUCGUUUACUUUCACUUUCGAUUUACCACUUCCGGGUACAUCGGCAGACUUAUUUACCGUUACGCAUAUAGGUAACCCGAAGAACUCGAGGGAUAUAAAAGUUAAAUUUGUUUCGGUCCUCUUCAGAUUUGAAGGAAUGGAUAGCACGGGUCAAAAAAUGCAGAUGUAUAGACAAGGAGGUAUAUGACAAGUAUAGAAUAUACAGUUGUUCAAUAUGGACCAUUAAUCAACUGUUUGCAUUGCCUAUGAUCCUGAAAUAUCUAUACAUCAAAGAUAAAAAGGGAAAAGAUGAGGAGGAUUUGUCCAUGAAGACCUUUAUUGCAACUACCAUCUUCCAGUUCCUUAAUUUGAGAAUGAUAUCAGAGAACACAAAGUUACAGUGAAAUAUUAGUUUAAUAUAAGCCACUGAGAAUAGUCAAAUGUACUUUCCUGAAGAAGAUGAAUGACAUCCAGCACAAAAAUAUUAAUGUAUAAAGAGUAUGAUUUUAUGGUGUUUGACACUAUGAUCUUGUUAACAUGUUAAUGUCACAAUGAUAGAAACAGAGUAAAAUAUCCACAUUUAAUUGCAGUUUUAAGUAUUAAAACUAGAUACUCUAUAUAUACCAAAGCUGAUAACACACCAGAGAUAAGGUUUUUCAUGGAAUCACAGUAUAGUCAUAUGACAUUAUGGACAUAAAAUGACUAUGAAGUAAAGAUUAGCAAAAAUAUUAUAUAUCAUCUACUACUAAGUACUAAUAUUGUGAGGUAAUCAUUGAUAAGCUCACAAAUUUGCAUUCAAAGCUUUGAUAUCAAGCUGAACAUUUUUCAAUUAGAAUAUGAUUUAUAACUCUAUGAUAAUUUGUUCAUGUUAAUUUUCAAAGUCUUUACAUUUGUAAAAGGAAAUAUUCUUAUUUUUGUAUCAGUAGACAUUCACAGUGUAAAUUUACAUUGUCCAAAUAACUAAUAAUAAUUCCAAGUGCUUUCCUGAAGUUUUUCUUCCACUGGAAAAUCAGUGUGAUAUAUAAUUAUGCUAAGCAGUGCACUAUAAAUUGUGUAAAAAUAAAAGUUUAUUAAACUUA